rnacentral:rRNA from 1 species
UACGUAGGGUGCAAGCGUUGUCCGGAAUCAUUGGGCGUAAAGCGCGCGUAGGUGGCUUCGUAAGUCCGUUGUGAAAGUCAAAGGCUCAACCUUUGAAAGCCGAUGGAUACUGCGGAGCUAGAGUACGGAAGAGGCGAGUGGAAUUCCUGGUGGUAGCGGUGGAAUGCGCAGAUAUCAGGAGGAACACCAAUAGCGAAGGCAGCUCGCUGGGACGUUACUGACACUAAGGCGCGAAAGCGUGGGAGCGAA